rnacentral:tRNA from 1 species
ACUCUAAUAGUUUAUAAAAAACACUGGUCUUGUAAACCAGAGAGUGAAGACUCAUCCCUUCUUAGAGUG